rnacentral:rRNA from 1 species
GAUGAACGCUGGCGGCGUGCCUAAUACAUGCAAGUCGAGCGAACAGACGAGGAGCUUGCUCCUCUGACGUUAGCGGCGGACGGGUGAGUAACACGUGGAUAACCUACCUAUAAGACUGGGAUAACUUCGGGAAACCGGAGCUAAUACCGGAUAAUAUAUUGAACCGCAUGGUUCAAUAGUGAAAUACGGUUUUUCUGUCACUUAUAGAUGGAUCCGCGCCGCAUUAGCUAGUUGGUAAGGUAACGGCUUACCAAGGCAACGACGCGUAGCCGCCCUGAGAGGGUGAUCGGCCACACUGGAACUGAGACACGGUCCAGACUCCUACGGGAGGCAGCAGUAGGGAAUCUUCCGCAAUGGGCGAAAGCCUGACGGAGCAACGCCGCGUGAGUGAUGAAGGUCUUCGGAUCGUAAAACUCUGUUAUUAGGGAAGAACAAAUGUGUAAGUAACUAUGCACGUCUUGACGGUACCUAAUCAGAAAGCCACGGCUAACUACGUG